ensembl:lncRNA
GUUAGUACAACAAAAAGUUUACUCUGAAGCUCAAGGAAGAUUUUUACUGUAUGUAGCAGAUUCAUCAUCUUCAUCCCACAGUGAAGCUCAAAGAGUACAGACAGACGGAGCCGACCUACCCAACACUAACGGAAUCGGUCGACAGACUUUGCUGACGAACACAAACGGAGAGGUUCUGGUAAUGUCAGCAAGUGGAGCGGAGUCCGGUCUUCACACCGAGCUCACAGCGUCAGGUCUUGGACUUCAGCCAAAUGUCACAGUGUCGCCCCUCGCUGUCCUCCACACAGACACACUGCCCUCAGUUUCGCAUGGGUACUCCCACACAGAGCUGGUUAGCAUGGCAACAGACUCCACAGGGACAUACACAGUUUCAGCAGAUCCAACAGGAACUCCAUUUGACUUCAGUCAUCCAGCUGUGACGGAUCACACACAGAUGGCUGGUCAAGUCACUGAACAGUACUACCCAUCUGGUCAGGGUCCUGAAGGUACAAAAAAUGUGGAAUUGGAGGAUACCUGCUGACUUCCACAUAAAGCCGCAAGUUCGAUUCCUGCGCUACAGCUUCCAGUGUACCGACAAAUCAGCAAUGCCGAGGAAAUCAACCCCCUUCCACUAGCCGUAGGCCACGCCCACUGAGUGCCAGCAACUCAUUGGUGUUUUUUUUUUAAUAUUUAAAAUGUGGAAUUCUGUUUAUAGAAUUGUAUUUUGUCUUAGAGAAAAAUUAUGGAAAAAAAAUUUCAGCUAAUUUUUCCAUGUUUCUGAUUUGACUUCCUCUUCACAAUC